UACGUAGGGGGCAAGCGUUGUCCGGAUUUAUUGGGCGUAAAGCGCGUGUAGGCGGCCAGACAGGUCUGCUGUGAAAACUCGAGGCUCAACCUCGAGACGCCGGUGGAAACCGUUUGGCUAGAGUCCGGAAGAGGAGAGUGGAAUUCCUGGUGUAGCGGUGAAAUGCGCAGAUAUCAGGAAGAACACCCGUGGCUAAGGCGGCUCUCUAGUACGGUACUGACGCUGAGACGCGAAAGCGUGGGGAGCAAACAGG
rnacentral:rRNA from 1 species